CACCUCCUGGGUUCAAGUGAUUCUUCUGCCUCAGCCUCCCAAAUAGCUGGGAUUACAGAGUUUCACUCUCAGAGGAGGAUUUUGUUCUUCAGUUGUGGAGUGAUCUCUACCACUGAUGGCUAAAGCAGAUGUUAAAGCACGGAAAGCCAUACCCCAAAAUAUGACGCUUUAGCAUGCUGAGUGCUUUGAAAACUGAAAGGCCUCAGAAAUAAGCCUCAGCGCAGGGUCUCCCUCUGACCUCCCCCUACCUCCCUGUCUCUCUGACCCUAUCUCUCCCCAAGUACAGAAUGGAGCUGUUCUCUGACGUUCCCUUAUCUACCCAGAAACUGGAGCCCCAAAGAGGAACACAACUGCCUUUGAACCCUUCCCUGAAAUUUUCUUAGCCAGAGAAAAUUAAAACUUCUAUCACAGAGGAAGAGAAUGAACAUAAAACACCAUAGCUACAGCCCAAUCUUCAUCCCAAACCAUUGUUUGUUCUCCUGCCCCAUUCAAUUGCCAGGAUCAUUCACAAGAUCAAGUUUGCCUUCUGGGUCCAUUCAUUCUCCACUAAAAAUCUUUUACUCCUACACUCUCAUCUCUCCUUCCUCUAUGAAGAAGUGUCUAUCAACAUUUAGACCUCAGUGGGUUAUUGGGUAAUCAUUCUCAUGCAGUUCCCCUGUGCCCUGCAUGGUAAAUAAAUUUGUAUGCCUUUUUC